GCUGGGCAUGGUGGUGUGCGCCUGUAGUCCCAGCUACUUGGGAGGCUAAGGCAGGAGAAUUGCUUGAACCCAGGAGUCGGAGGUUGCAGUGAGCCGAGAUUGUGCCACUGCACUUCCAGCCUGGGUAACACAGCAAGACUCUGUCUCAA
rnacentral:SRP_RNA from 1 species